GGAGAGGUGGCAGAGCGGUUGAAUGCAUCGGUCUUGAAAACCGACAAGGAUUCACGUCCUUCGCGGGUUCGAAUCCCGCCCUCUCCGCCA
rnacentral:tRNA from 1 species